CGGCACGGGUGAGUAAUACAUCGGAACGUGUCUUCUAGUGGGGGAUAACUGCCCGAAAGGGCAGCUAAUACCGCAUGAGACCUGAGGGUGAAAGCGGGGGAUCGCAAGACCUCGCGCUGGAAGAGCGGCCGAUGUCCGAUUAGCUAGUUGGUGAGGUAAAGGCUCACCAAGGCGACGAUCGGUAGCCGGACUGAGAGGUUGAACGGCCACAUUGGGACUGAGACACGGCCCAG
rnacentral:rRNA from 1 species